CUUAAUCCUAGAGGGUACUAAGUAAGCAUAAUCUGAUGCCGUUUGAUUGGCGGAGAGUUGAAUGGACGAACGAGCGCAUAACUGUCUUGUUAAAAGUUAAAUUUAAUUAGACUUCCAAGUGAAGAGGCUUGGUUUAAUAGAUAGACGAGAAGACCCCGUGAAGCUUUACUAUAAGCUGAUUUAAAUACAUAAAAAUUUAGUUAAUUUUAACUUAUAAACUUUCAAAGAGUUUUAUUUUAAUUUAGUAGUCAGCUUGGUAGUUUAGGUGGGGCGCCUGUACUUUAAUAUAAACAAGGAAUUAGCAAUAUUUACUAAGAUUAAGACUGUGUAAUAAACUUUUUUAUACAGGGUUAUAAACGGUUAAACGACCCUCACUAUAUAAAGUGAGUCAAAGAAUAAUAGCUACUCCGGGGAUAACAGG
rnacentral:rRNA from 1 species